rnacentral:rRNA from 1 species
GAUGAACGCUGGCGGCGUGCCUAAUAUAUGCAAGUCGAGCGAACAGACGAGGAGCUUGCUCCUCUGACGUUAGCGGCGGACGGGUGAGUAACACGUGGAUAACCUACCUAUAAGACUGGGAUAACUUCGGGAAACCGGAGCUAAUACCGGAUAAUAUAUUGAACCGCAUGGUUCAAUAGUGAACGACGGUUUUGCUGUCACUUAUAGAUAGAUCCGCGCCGCAUUAGCUAGUUGGUAAGGUAACGGCCUACCAAGGCAACGAUGCGUAGCCGACCUGAGAGGGUGAUCGGCCACACUGGAACUGAGACACGGUCCAGACUCCUACGGGAGGCAGCAGUAGGGAAUCUUCCGCAAUGGGCGAAAGCCUGACGGAGCAACGCCGCGUGAGUGAUGAAGGUCUUCGGAUCGUAAAACUCUGUUAUUAGGGAAGAACAAAUGUGUAAGUAACUAUGCCCGUCUUGACGGUACCUAAUCAGAAAGCAACGGCUAACUACGUG